AUGUCAAGUUCAAAUGAAUUUUAUCAAGACAUUUCCAUGGUUCAUUCAAAAGAAAAAGAAAGGAAUUUCAAUUUGAAAGAGGGGUACUUUGAAUGUAUGAAGAAAUUAUCAUUUAAACCUUCAAAGUCACAUUACAAGAAAAAUACAAAUACAACUUCAAUUCAAUUCACUACAUGGGGAGGUUCCAUCACAAAAUCAGGUUACAUUGCCAUUACAUCAAGGAAGUUACAUGGAAGUACAUAUUAA